GGGGUUUUAGCUCAGUGGUGGAGCGCUUGCUUCACAUGCAUGAGACCCUGGGUUCAAUCCUCAGCACCA
rnacentral:tRNA from 1 species